rnacentral:rRNA from 1 species
UACGUAGGAGGCGAGCGUUGUCCGGAAUCACUGGGUGUAAAGCGCGUGUAGGCGGCCUGCCAAGUCUGCUGUGAAAGCGCCUGGCUUAACCGGGCGAGGUCGGUGGAAACUGGCGGGCUGGAGGACGGUAGAGGGGGGUGGAAUUCCCGGUGUAGUGGUGAAAUGCGUAGAGAUCGGGAGGAACACCAGUGGCGAAGGCAGCCCCCUGGGCUAACACUGACGCUCAUGCACGAAAGCGUGGGGAGCAAACAGG